AGGUAACCUGCGAUGGAGUAAGCUCAUCCUCACAAGGCUCAAGGCAGAGUGUUCCUGAGUCUUUUCAGAACAUGAUAACACAUGUAGAGCAGAGCACUGUGCACUAGUUACUAAUACCAGAAGAGGACUCUCACUAUAUGGAGGAUAAUGAUCAUCACCAUACCAGCCACCAGGAAUAGAAGUCCAAGUACUUCUGCCCACUCUCUCUUGGUAUUGGAGUCACCAAAAAUCCACAAGUCAAGUAUUUGGUGGAAACUACUUUACUUACAAAAAGAUACAGAGCAAGAUCAGCUUCAGUAGUGGAUGUCUGUCACCAUGGUCUCUCCUGGAAAACAAUCCAGUGUGACUGGCCUGUGAGCACCCCACUAGUGCUGUAGUAGAAGCACCCUGACACCUCCUCUGUGAAGUCUGAAAUAUUGAAUUGAAAACUAGGGGCAAGCUUGAGGGCCAUUGAUGUACAAUGCUUAAGCAGAACAAAGAUGUACUUACUGAGUCUGAAACAGAGAAGGAUAUACUUUCACACAAAAUCUAAACCUAGGAUAGGUACUGCCUUUCCCAAUACAAGAGAUUUUAGUAAAUCUUCCAACUUUGUUUUUCUUUAUUCCACUUUGUUUUGGUAAUUAUCUAUGCUGUCUUUUCUAUAUAAAAUUAGCGUAAGAUAGUCAAUACAACAAAAAUGCACGGAAUUAGAUUUGGUUUGCAUUCAUUCUAUAGAUUAAUUAGGAGGCUCUUGAACAUCAUAAAAAUAGUGAAUAUUCCAAUCCAUGAACUCAAUAUAUUUAUUUGUUUACUAAGAUAUUCUUGAAUUCUUAUUCAGUAUUUGUAGGUGACAUGCAAAUUCUGUAUCUAUUUUUGUUAAUUUUAUACCUAUUUUAUUUUUCCUGAUGCUAUUCUAACUAUUACUUUAAAAAUUAACUUUCAUGUGGAUAUAGUCCUAACUUCUUGGAAGACUAAGGUGAAAGGCUCAAUUGGGCCCAGGGGGGAGUUUGAGUCUAGCCUGGACAACACAGACCCCCACCUCUAAAAAUUAAAUUAAAUUAAGUUAUUUAAAUUAAAUUAAAUUAACUAAUUUCCAGUUGUUUAUGCACAUAUAUAAUUGACCUGGUACCCUGGAACAUUCCAAAAUUAUUUUACUAAAUCUGGAGAUUUUGUUAUAGGUCUAUAGACUAUGAAUUUGUAUGCAAAUAUCUUGCUUAUAUAAAUAGACUUAUUUUAUCAUUUUUAUUUUUAUGACUUUUAUUUCUUUGUUUUUUUUAUUUCUUUGUUUUGUUGUUUUUUCACUUACUAGAGCUUUUGAAACUAAAAGUGAGAGCGACUAUUGUUGCCUUGAUCCUGAUCUCAAGGGAUAAGUUUACUCAUUUUUCACUCAGUUGUGUUGAGUUGGUUGAUGAGCUUGUUGAAUGCAUGCUUUUUCACUUUUACUGUGUUUUUCAUUUAUAUCAUUUUCAUUAGACUUUUAUAGCGUCUAUCAGUCUAUUGAUAAUCACAUAUUUAAUCUUUUGUGAAGAUGAUAAAACUUUAGGAUUUUGUGAUGCCUCUAACUUUAUUGGCAUGAAAUAAGUGUAGUUUUAUUAUCUUCAAGGCUAACAAAAGAGUAUGAUUCUCUGAUAAAAGGGAAUAAAGGAUUGAGUCUAUCACUUGAAAGUGAGAAGAGGGAAAAAUAUUUCAGCCAGGUAAACUCAGUUUUAUAUUUUUGACAAGAUAGAAAUAUUUAAAAGCUUUUACAUUAUUAUUCAAUUUUUUUUGACUUAUAAACAGACACUCAAGCAUUAAUAAACCCUCUCUCAGGAUGCAAAUAACAAUGAUGCACUGAAUUAAAUAAAAGAUAAAUAAUAGUCAUUUUCUGAGUGUCUCUUUUCUGUUCUCAGAUAAAAUAAUUGCCUACUUUCUUUAACAUUUAUUCAAACAUUCAGCAAGUUAUGUUAACUCUUCACUGUCUGGUAUUCUUUGAAGAAUAUCUGAUAAUUGCACGUUAUAUUUAUUAAUGGCUGUGACUAAAUAACGAAUUAAGUUUUAUAGUAAAAGGUAAUAGAGCAAGUGAUUCAUUCAAAAAAGGCAUUCCAAUUAAAUUUGAGGUUGAAAUUUCAGAGAUGUCACCUAGACACCAGCCAUUUACCUAUUUUAACAAUCUUGUAUAUAAAAUAUUUAUCUGUAAAACAAAGAAACAAUGUUAAAAAUUAGGUAUCCAGUUAACGGAUUCUGGUUUCUAUACAUGAAGAGAAACUUUUGCCUUAAAAUUUGUUUCAAAGUUAUAUGCAUGAAGGAAAAAUACAUGUGUUAUCACAAACACUAUUUUUGUACUUAGUAUUCUAAUAUACUUAUCUAUUAAAGUCAUUAGGGUGCAAUUUACUCAUGUGAAGGGUUGUUCUCUUAUUUGCCACUUUUUGGCAAAUAGUAUGAGUUUCAAUUCAUUUCUGAAUGUGAACAGAUAAGAAGAAAUUGCCAAAAAUAUUUGGUUCAUAACAUGAUACUCUAGCAGCAUGCUAGUCUAUCUUUAAUAGUGCUUGUAAGGAAAUAUCAAUAAAGUGUCUUUGUCUU